AGCUCGGGUUCUAGGCCCCCGGCUGUAGCCACGCCGGCCCCUUCCUGGGACAGGGUUUUACUCAUUUUUUCAUUUAGUAGACACUGGGUUGUUGGACACCUGCCAGCAGGGCUGGCACUGGAGAGGCAGGGAGGGGCGAUCCAGGCGUCGUGCCUACCCUCAGAAUGCACAGACUGAUGGGAGGGCAGGCGGAGGGGUGCUGCUCACCUGGGUGGGCUAAGUAAAGGCAGUGGGACCUACCCAGACACGGGUGGGGAAAAGCCGAUGGUGGAGACUUCAAGCAAGAAAAAGAGUAGGGAGGAGUGUUUCAGGUCAGAAUCCUCCGCGAAACUGUGAUGUAGGCAAAAUUGUCUAUUCAAACUGUAGAUGAGAUGGAAGAAGCCCAGCAGGGGCAGGAUGCAGAAGAUGGCAAAGGAUUCUGGCAUACCUGGGCAUGCCCAGAACACCCGUGGCAGGAUCCACUGGAGGUCUGUUUUCAUGAGAAGACAGCAUCCUAGGAAAGAAUCCCUUCUUCAGGCAAGGCCAAAGAGAAGCCCAAGGAUAACAGAAUAGUCCCUGAACUCUGAAAAUAUUGGCCAACAUCUCUAUCAGCAAUGCCAUCUGUCUGCAGAGGAGAGCAAGUUUUUAGUCAGAGAGAGAGAACACAAGCAGGCGGAGCAGCAGACAGAGGAAAAGAGAGAAGCAGACUCCCCACCGAGCACGGAGCCUGACUUGAGGCUCGACGCGGGGUUCAAUCCCAGGACCCCAGGAUCAUGACCUGAGCCAAAGGCAGACGCUCAACCGACUGAGCCACCCAGGUGCCCCUAAGCUUAUUUGUUACAACACUCAGUCCAUUGUAUUUACUGAUCCUUUGAUCAGAUCCUUAGAAUGAAUAAUCACGACAUUAAAUUUAUUUUCAUGCUCACAUUUCUCUAAAGAAAAAGAGAAUGCACACAUGCACACACACAGAUGAGCAAGCGGAGAGAGCAAUAGAGGGGGAGGGAGAGGGAAAGAAUCUCAAGCAGACUCCACACUGAGAGCAGAACUUGACGUGGGGCUCGGGCUUGAUCCCACAACCCUGAGAUCAUGACCCCAGGCCAAACCAAGAGUCCUACGCUUAACCAGCUGAGCCAUCCAGGCGCCUCUCUUGCUCACCUUUAAUACGGGAUUUGAAAGAAAGUAUUAAAUCAAGUUCAGCAGACUCAGAGGAGUUGGUUCUUUGUUGAAUAAAUAUUGCCCCCUUUCAAGUGAAUUUAUCCUUUCCAGGAAUGUAAACUCUUCUAGACAUUGACUGAUAAUAAAAAUGUGGAUGGAAGCUCUCUUUUCCAUAGGGACAAUAUCAUAAGGAAAGCUCUCGUGAUUAGCUAACCUCACAGUUCUCAGAGACAUAAGGUGAAUUUUCAAGAGGCUAUCACUUCCCCAGGUUUUGUUUCAUUUCAGUGGAGGUAAGCUUGUGGAUUUCAAGAAUCCAUUCCUAGCUCUUUCCCUGAGACACAUUUAUUUAUUUUUCACAAUAUCAAAACCAGUGUAAUGGGAGAGUCCAUAAGCUUCACCUGCUUGUUGGACAAGUAAGAUCACAUUUACAUUUAUGUCCAAGUUACCCCAACUCUGGGACCUCCCUGCCUUGUCAGCAGGAAGGCUGGUCAGUUUGGGGGUGUAGCCUACCCUAAUAUAUGAAGUUUUCCUGCCGUGCUUGGAUAUGUCCCCAAAUUUGUCCCCAGUAUGUUCUCUCCGGCUGCCUGCUAGGGAAGCAGAAAUGCAGACAGUCCUUCAGGGACACAGGCCUCCAUCAUUGCAGGAGUCCACCCCACCCACACCCUACCUGGGGGCCUCCCGCUGGCUGCUGUUGCUGCCUCCAGCCCCGUGGCUCCGAUGUCCGAGGUGGCCCCGGCUCACUGGCUCUGCUCGCCAGGGUGCAGGUGUAGGUCAGCCACAGCGAAACUCUAGGAGAGCCUCAGAACCACAGUUCCGAUGGUGCUCGUGCCUGGUCCACCACCUCUACCACCCCGGGGAGACCGGCCCCACCUCUGGGUCCCUUAGUUGAGUGGGGAAGGCAGAGGCUGUUGCCCAUGUUACCGGUGUCCAGGGAAAGUAUCGGCACCCCAAGGCAGCGCAGCUUUUCCAACCCACACACAGCCGAGCCCCCAGGCCCGCCCAUGGUGCCAGUGGGCUGGCGUGAUCACGACAUAGGUGUGAGCUCCUGCCCGGGAGGGCUCGAUUUCCCAGACUAGAGUUAAGAAAUACCAGGGUGGGGCGCCUCAGUGUGGAGUGGCUCAGUCAGCUAAACAUCCAGCUCUUGAUUUCGGCUCAGGUCAUGAUCUCAGGGUUGUGAGGUCGAGCCCCACAUCAGGCUCCGUGCUGAGGGUGGGGCCUGCUUAAGAGUCUCUCUCUUCCUCUCCCCUCCCCCACUCUCCCUCUCUAAAAAAAAAAAAAAAGAAACACCAGUGAGACCACGCACUGGGGGGUUCCUUUCAGGACUCCCAUAAGGCCCCAUGCUGGUUAUUCUCCAUUUACCUGCUCACCCCCCAAAUCCAUUCUGCUUAUUCUCUGCCCUGCUUGGCCACGUUCUGCCAGUGGCUGCUUUCAGCAGUUAAAAGUACUAUUGAAAGGCCCAUCUUUCAUGCUCCCAGCUCUCAAUCUCCCUUUAGUCCCCUUAUCUCGUGGGUAGUUGUAGAGAGCAAAAUGGAGUCACUUGUGUCAGCGGCGGCUGGUGUUGGGCGGUGAUGCAAGCAGACAUGGGGGUUGCAGCUAAGACCAGAUGUCGCAGAAACUAGCCCAGGCUGAUGGCACCCAGGACUGAUACCCGGCAGAACCAGAGAAGGUCUGCCAAGGCCCAAGACCGAUUAAACUCCUUUAAAAUGGGAGGAUUUUCGCAGCAAACUGUCAGACUUUCUAGAUGCUGACCCUUUCACGUCUGACCCCAUCAGGUUCUGCCUGAUUGAUCUCUGAACAGAACAGAGAUCCUCCACUGCUUGAACAUAAUAAACAGCACGUGCCAAGAGCUGACCCAGAUGGGACAGGGGCCCCAUCUCAACUGCACGCUCACCUGACUUAGCAUUUGGUUUGUUCACUUCCUACCCCUUGUUAUAUCUUGGCAGUUGUGCGACUCUGGGCUGUGCUUUGCAGUGUGUGACGUGUGAGAAGCCACAUUAAACACACAGUGAAAUGUCAUUGAGCCCAGAAUCCUGAACCUGCUUUACUGUCAUGUUUACCUUGCUUUAUGAUUGAACAAAGCUGACAUGGGGGAAAGACACAACCAUAUGUGUGCCAUCAUAGUGUCCCCACGGAAGUAGUCUUCUCUAAAUUCUCCCAGUUAAACCUUCUGAGUUGCCACGAACCUGACUCCCACUGCCCCCCAGGACUCUUGAGGAAUCCUCGGCAGAGAGGUGGCUCCCCAAAGUCAUGAAAUUGACCAUCCUGUCAAUAAGGCAGCUGAAGACUGAGCCACGUUUAAUCUGACUUCGAAAAAUAGAAAAAUGUAGGCUUUCCUGCCCCUUAGCAUCGCAGAGCAAAUCCACACCCUGUUACCCAAGUUCGGACCUCUGUGAGCCACUGGACUCUCUCACUUGGCCACCCAGAGCUCGCCUGUAUUCUUCAACACUUUGUGAAGAGAUGUGAGGUGCAUAAGACUGUUUGUUGCCCUCUCCGUGACCCUGGGCUCCAGGGGCAGAAUCAGUGAGGGUCUGAGGCCCAUGUGCUCAGGGAGAAGCCCAGUUCCUGACACAGAUCUGGGGUUGAUGCCUUAACCCUACAAGUUCCUUGAUCCGAGCUGUUUCAUUUAGAAAGGGAGUCACUGACCAGAGAUAAGAUCAGGUAGGAUAAAGCCAUUGGAUUCUGCCCUCCCUUCUCAUUAAGUUGUAUCUUAAUAACUUGAUAUCAUUUUCUGGAUAGGCUGGUUACUCAUGUCUCCCAACAGCAACCCACAGAAUGCUUUAAUGAUUGUGGUGAUUGGUAACACCUGCUUUAAAUUUUUUCAUGUUAAAAAAAUAAAGCUGGCUCUCUACCUCACACCUUAGUAAAUUCCAGCUAUAAAAAUGUACACAUAUACCAACACAUACAAAACUCCAUAAAAGUACUGGGGAAGAAAAUAGGCGAUGUUUAUUUCAUCUUGGGAAGUGAAGGGGCAGGCCUUUCUAAAAAUGACACCAAAGCAAAAAACCAUUAAAAAAUAUGAUGGGUUAUGGGGCACCUUGGUGGCUCAGUUGAUCUCAGCUCAGGUCUUGAUCUCAGGGCUGUGAGUUCAAGCCCCACAUUGGGCUCUACACUGGACAUGGAGCCUGCUUAAAAGACAAUAAAAUUUAAAGAUGAUGGGUUUGACUAUAUAAAAAUUUGAAAUUUCUAUAUGCUACUAUCCACGUGGAUUAAAAGUCAAAGCAGAAACUGAGAAGCAACAUUUUGACACAUGAGAAGCAAAGGGAUAACGUUCCCAGUGCAUGAAUAACUCUCACGAACUAAUUAGGAGUAAAAGAAUACUCCAGUGGCAAAUAUGGAACGGAUAUGAUGACGUGGUAUUUGACUGACAUUUGCAAGUGGCCAAUGACCUCAUGAGAGGACGCUCAACCUCACUGGUAACCAAGGGAAGAUUAAAAAAGAAGAAGAAAAGAAAAGUAGGAGGAAAAAGAAAACCACACACAUAGCAUCAUCACCACAGAACCCAUGGGGUGUCUUUCCUCACCUCCUAAAAGAACAAAGGUGAAAAAGACUGUAACACCCAGUGGGGGUGAGGGUUCUCAUGCUACUUCUCACAUACUGGUGGGAAGAGUGUAAAUACUACAAACUUUUUGGAGAGAAGUCUGUCAAUAAGUAUCAGAAGCCUUAACAGAUGGAUACCUUUUGACUUAGCAAUGCUCCUGUUACCCCUGAUCUGGCCUUGAAAGGAGGGAUACCGUCUCUCUUGGCUACUCCAUCCAGAACAUGGGACCAGUUCCUCCUCUUAAUUCCCCCAGCAGAGCAAAGCCCAGGCUCUCUGAAGAGAUCAUGUAAUAAUUCACUUUUUCUAAUGAUUCAGGAAAUGGACAAGAAAAAAGAUUUCAAGGCUUUUCCGGUCGACCUUAUCUUAAUAUGAAAAAUCUUGACACAUUAACUUGGUAAUGAAGUGCAGGUUAUAUAGUACUCAGGAAAAAAAAAAAAAAACUGUUUUCAUAUUUUUAAAG